rnacentral:rRNA from 1 species
AUUGAACGCUGGCGGAAUGCUUUACACAUGCAAGUUGAGCGGCAGCACGGGGGCAACCCUGGUGGCGAGCGGCGAACGGGUGAGUAACACAUCGGAACAUGCCCAGUCGUGGGGGAUAACACUUCGAAAGAAGUGCUAAUACCGCAUACGUCCUGAGGGAGAAAGCGGGGGAUCGCAAGACCUCGCGCGAUUGGAGUGGCCGAUGUCAGAUUAGCUAGUUGGUGGGGUAAAGGCCUACCAAGGCAACGAUCUGUAGCUGGUCUGAGAGGAUGAUCAGCCACACUGGGACUGAGACACGGCCCAGACUCCUACGGGAGGCAGCAGUGGGGAAUUUUGGACAAUGGGGGCAACCCUGAUCCAGCCAUUCCGCGUGAGUGAAGAAGGCCUUCGGGUUGUAAAGCUCUUUCGGCAGGAACGAAACGGUGAGCUCUAACAUAGCUUGCUAAUGACGGUACCUGAAGAAGAAGCACCGGCUAACUACGUG